UUGCGGUUCUCUUCUCACACACACACACACAAGAAACGCUCUCACGAACUUUUGUCUGUCUCUGUCGCACUUCUAUGUUUUUCGAUGUCUGGCACAACAUGUUGCUCCCGUCUGGAACAGCGCUUCUCUUCGCUUAUCAAAAACGGAGAACUGAGACAGCUUACAACCCCUGCCACGACAUGCAGGCACUGUUGAGCACAAAUGAACAUAUUCAAUUGUUUAAAUAUGGAUCAAAUAGUAUAUAUAAUUAUUAAUAAUAUUCUUAUAAAUCCAAAAAAAAAUGUGUUGUAUUAUUUUGAGUUUGUUUAUCAACUGAUACGCCACAGUUUACCACAAUGUGGCACUGGUUGUGCGUUAGCGCACGUGUGAGAGGUUGGACUUGAAACCGGUUUGUACCCCAACAAAGUACACAAAGUUCUAAAUCAAGUCGUAUUGUAGGUGCACUCACACAGACGACACUUUCGUUCAGAGAAGCUUUAGAUGCAGCCUGCAGUUCUAGUUGUAGAUGGAGAGCACGUGUACACGUGUGUGCCAGAGCUUUGUUGUGUGUUCUGUCGCACUCGAUGUCCAAUUAAAGAUGUAUUUAUAGCGCUUUGCAAACCUAUAUGGCGCAAUUCAAUCAACCAAACUCAACUUCAAUCAACGCGGACUUAUCGAUAAGACAUCGAUAAGACCUUCAGAAAUAUACCGAAACAUACCGUCUCAUUUAAAAAAUAUACCGUAAAUAUACUGACGAA